rnacentral:rRNA from 1 species
GAUGAACGCUAGCGGCAGGCUUAAUACAUGCAAGUCGAACGGGAAUUGGGUAGCAAUACCUGAUGAUAGUGGCGCACGGGUGCGUAACGCGUAUGCAACCUACCUUUAACAGGGGGAUAGCCCGGAGAAAUUCGGAUUAAUACCCCAUAGUAUUAUGGAGAGGCAUCUUUUCAUGAUUAAAGUUCCGGCGGUUAAAGAUGGGCAUGCGUGCCAUUAGCUAGUUGGUGAGGUAACGGCUCACCAAGGCGACGAUGGUUAGGGGUCCUGAGAGGGUUAUCCCCCACACUGGUACUGAGACACGGACCAGACUCCUACGGGAGGCAGCAGUAAGGAAUAUUGGUCAAUGGGCGGAAGCCUGAACCAGCCAUGCCGCGUGCAGGAAAACGGCCUUAUGGGUUGUAAACUGCUUUUGUCAGGGAAUAAACCCUCGUUUGCGAACGAGGCUGAAGGUACCUGAAGAAUAAGCAUCGGCUAACUCCGUGCCAGCAGCCGCGGUAAAACGUAG